GACAAGUUUCUCUGCAUUUUUUUCUUUGUUUUCCCCUCCUCUGCUUAGGCUGCCAUUCCAGAGACCUUAACCUUGAUGAGAAGCACUCCUCUCUAGGGGUAAAAGGUAAUUUACCCACUCUAAACAUUGUACUAGUUGUUUCCACACCUCUGAGCAAAGACUCCUGAAAAACAAUGUCAAAUGGAGGCUAUUACUCCAUGAAUAAAACUUAAUCAAUAAUAUUGUUACAGUUUAGUGUUUAAGUUUGAGGGAAAUAUGUUUAGGGGGAAAAAAGGAAUGAGAAAAUCAAAUCAACCAUGUCUUAAAAUGCAUGGUGAACAUGUCCCUGGCCUUAUGUCCUUUGUGGAAAUUGUGCUUAUACAACAGAUAACUCAGCAAUGAAGUCAAUAACUGGCAAACUUGAUACUUCCAAAGGCACUAAAGAGGAAUGUCAACCAACACUGAUGAGCAGCUUUGAACCCAAGGCCUUUCAGAUGCUGCUUGACAAGUUAACAGGCUUUUCUUCCUCUGUAGAAAGGAAGCUUCGGAGAGACUGCAUUUCUGGCUGACAAUCCGGACUCAGAGCAGAGAUGUCCUGCUGAACGUCAACGUGUUACUAACUCAGCCCAUGUGGCAGUCCCUUUAGUAAAAAUGACUAAAACAUUGAACAGGCUGCCUGCCACAAGGUCCGGAGAAGCCAAGAGCCAUAUUAUAUCAUUCUGUAGAAGCAAGUUCUCAUCUCAUAUGCACCAGCAUACAUGUGAAGUAGUGGAUUUCCAGCAUCAUAAAUGGGAACAAAAUUUGACUUAAAAUACCUGAUACGGAAGAUAUGCUUCUAGACCUUCCUGAAUCAUCGUCAUGGACAUUGCACUGCCAGCAGACUAGUGUUUCUAGACCUCUAAGAAGUGGAGGGGCUUGAAGGCAACACGGUAGGCUAAAGCCAACCCAGACUUCCAGGAAGGUGAGACAGCAUGGAAAAAAGGCCUAAAUACAGAAAACCAGGGGUGAGGCAGUUAGAGGGAAGUGGAAACUGGUGCAAAAGAGAGGUGAGAAAGGAAGACGGGACCUAAGAUGCUUCAUACCAGGAUGGUUUCCACACCAGGUAAUGACAAAAGCCAAUCAUAACCAGUCACAUCUAGGUGGGUCUCUCACUUUUCAGAGAACAGAGGUACUUUUAGAUGUGCCACACCUCAGAAAAAUUACAACAGGCCCCUUGCUAGUGAAAAGCAAGAAUUUACAUGUUUGCAUUCCCUUCUCCAGUAAAAGAAUAUAUAGAAUAUUCCUCAAUCCAGUCUUCCUCAAUGCAGAAUAUUCUUCAAUUUCUGACCCCUUUGCUAUCUCUUCUGUAGAUCAGAUGUGUGGAAAGACUCAGAAUUAAUUGUGUGGAUCCCUGAAUCACACUGAUUCCUUAUUAUAUUCCACUGAAAGCAAUCUUAUUGUUACUUUACAUUCGUGUUAACAAAGAGCCUGAAUGAGAUAUAGGGAAGAGAUGUUAUAUUUUAAAUAAAUGUCCAGGUAAUGUGCCACAGGGGAGCUUAGGAUCAAAUGAGGUUUUAUAUUUUUAUGUAGAAUGUAAUCACUUUUUUCAUGAUUGUGGCUCCUCCAUUACUGUUAUUAAAGAGUUUAUUAUUCUAUGGGGGAUACUGCUCUUUGGUAUUACGUGCUUACAGACCAAAAGAGAUAGUGUCUUCUGAUCCCUUUAAAUCACAAUAAAGCCAUGGAACAACAUUGUACUGUAGUAUUAGAACUGGCAAAGUGUUCGACGUACCAACUCUGAUCAUGCUGCAGGCAGGCUGUUUCAGAUCUGCCUGCAUUUUAAGAUGA